rnacentral:tRNA from 1 species
GGCCAAGUAGCCCAAUCGGUAGAGGCAGUGCGCUUAAAACGCACGCGUUGUAGGUUCGAAUCCUACCUUGGCCA